rnacentral:lncRNA from 1 species
UCUUCGUAUGAGUAACUUGCAGGUGAUCGUUAGUAGGUUGCUGGUGUUGCUGUCGUGAGUGACUUAUUCCUCACUGAGUCUUAGGAUGCUCUGAUACGUAACGGGAUGAGAUCUUUUGUGGCUAUUUUCUAUUCCUUUACGUAUUGCUUAUGUUUUAAUAAGGCCUGUGUGCCAAAGACUUACUUAUGUUAAUGAAUUAAAUCCGCUGCU